ensembl:ncRNA C30B5.13 ncRNA
UGUGUGAGGGAGGUACCGCUCAUUUGGUAUGCACAUUCGGACGGAAGUUCAAUCGUUUCUCGUUUCAGU